rnacentral:lncRNA from 1 species
GCUACACUGCAGCACUCCUUCAAAUGUUGCCCAUUUCAGUGAUGGAGAUGAUCAGCAACUCAUCAUAUCAGUCUCUUUGCACACAGGAAAAUCCUCCCCUGCUGCAGACUUCCCAUGGUGACACCUGAAGUGCGCUCUGUGCUGCAGAGAGGCUCCAGGCUCUGUGAGCAUUCCUUCCCACAGGAAAAAAUCUGGCUUGAAGUGGAGAUGCAGAGACUUGUUACUAGCUCACUGUGGAGUUUUGAGAUAUGUGACAGAAUAUUUCUGCAGCACAUGAAGGAAAUGCGGCCAGUGGCUCCAGGUGGGUAGAAAGCAUUUGUGGGCUGGUUUUCCCUCCUUCAUCC